UUUGUUGUAAGUUGCAGUGAUUCUGCCGAGGGCUUUCCAAGACUGCAGGUCCCUCAGUGUCGAAGCAAAAAUUGCACCCAAUGAAGUUAAAGAGCCCUGACACCUGACAAUUCUUCCUUUAUAG